UUAACCAACUGAGCCACCCAGCAACCAUAGGAAAUGAAGACAGUCCUGGAAUCAGGCCACUGCCUAUCCUCACUAUCUGCCUCCAUACACACUUCCAGAGAAGAGUGAAGGGAGCAACUUUGGUUCCUGAGGACAACUUGGACUGAAACAACUUCACCCAUAAUGUGAGCCCAUGACUGUAGUUGCUUAUGUCUUUUUCUCUCCUACUUUCAUUUAUUUCUCUUUUCCUCUCUUCAUUUGACUUGUCAACACAACAGAGGAGUUGAUAGUGAAUUAUUGAAAUGUAUUAUACACUCUGAGUUGUUUUAAAGGAAAGCAUUAAUAUUAAUAUUUAUUA